rnacentral:rRNA from 1 species
UUUGAUCAUGGCUCAGAUUGAACGCUGGCGGCAUGCCUUACACAUGCAAGUCGAACGGCAGCACGGGAGCAAUCCUGGUGGCGAGUGGCGAACGGGUGAGUAAUACAUCGGAACGUGUCCUGUAGCGGGGGAUAGCCCGGCGAAAGCCGGAUUAAUACCGCAUACGAUCUGUGGAUGAAAGCGGGGGCUCCUUCGGGACCUCGCGCUACAGGGGCGGCCGAUGGCAGAUUAGCUAGUUGGUGGGGUAAAGGCCUACCAAGGCGACGAUCUGUAGCUGGUCUGAGAGGACGACCAGCCACACUGGGACUGAGACACGGCCCAGACUCCUACGGGAGGCAGCAGUGGGGAAUUUUGCGCAAUGGGGGAAACCCUGACGCAGCAACGCCGCGUGGAGGAUGAAG